CACUUGUAAAAACCAAAGGUAGGACCAGUAGAGAAAAUGAGAGAACCAACACAGGAAAGAAACUAAAGGGAAAAGGAGAAAAUAAUUGUUCCAAACCACCACCUGCAGUAACAAAUGGAAAAGAAACGGUAGACCAGAAAGAAGAGGUCAAUGGCAAAGGGAAGACUAAAAAGGGAGAGGGUAAAAUGAAAAAGCAAGAGGAGAGUAGCAAGAAAAGUAAAGAGCAGAAUAAACAACAGCCGAAAGAGGAGAAAGGUAAGAAACCAGUGAAUGGGAAAAGUCAGAAUGGUAGAUCAUCCCCUCAGAAGGAGAAAAGCAUGACGGUUGAUGGCGGUACGAAUAAAGCUAUCAAAUCUAAACCUGGAUCAAAAAUACCCCCAACCAAAGGAGGAAGGGCAGACACACCUAUAACAAAGCCUGUAAAAAAAAGAGGUGUCAUAGUGAGUGAAACAGAGGAGACUGAGGAAUCUGAGAGCGAAGGAGAGAGUUCAGUGGAGGAGAGCGAAGAGGAGGAGGAGGAGGAGCUAGUUUGUAUAGAGGAGACAACUGAGACAGAAGGGCUCGAGACAGAGGCGACACAGGAUAGCAGCGAAGAGGAGGUUGAGGUGUCAGACACGGAGAGAAGCACAGAGGGGCAGGUAAAGGAAGAAUCAGAAAAGGAACCUCAAGUAGAGGAGGAAUCAGAAAAAGAACCUUCAGUGCAAAUCAGGAAACGAGGGGAACUUGAAGAGGAGCCAAUCAGUACCAGUGAGGAAGAGGAAGAAUCAGUGGCAGUGACCAGCGAUGGGGGUGAAUCUGAGAAGGUAACUUCAAGGAAAAGAGGGUCGCCCAAGAAAGCCACCGCUGUACCACCGCUCAGUUUGACGACCAGCGUCAUUGCACCGACAGGGGGUCUGAAAUCCAAGAUGUUCAUGAAAAAAAAGGGCCAGGCUGAAGAGAAGGUUGACAAACCUAAGAAAGCCCAGAAACCCACGAAAGCAGAGAAAAAGAAAGCAGAGAAAGCAAAGAAAGCUGAGAAAAAGAAAGCAGAAAAAGCUGAGAAAAAAAAAGGGAAAGGGAAACACAAAGCUACUCCAGCAGAGGAAGAAGCCCAGAUUCUGAAAGAUGUCUCCCUCAGCAAGGCUGAUGCUGCAAAACACAAGGCCCAGAUCCUGAAGCUAGCCAAACAAACAAAAACCUCCAUCAAAGACAAGAAUGCUUCUUCUUCCCCAUUGGAGUCACAGGAGGAUGAGGCUGCCUCAACUUCAUCCAAAGCCCCUAAAGGCCCAUCACGGAUGAUGCUAUUGAAAUCAAAAGGAAAUGACCUCAAAACCUGUCUGGUUGAAGGAGAACAGGAACAAACGAAAGAGGAGCAACAAGAUGGUGAAGGAGAAGCCAAACAGGGGAGCAGGAAAAACAUUGGCCUGGUCCUGGGCAGAGUCAAGAUGGCAUCUGUUCGACAAAGGAGCAGUAAAAUGCUGGUCAAGCCUGGAGAGGAAGCAACUACAGCCAGGUCUACAGAUGCAGUCUCAGCCAAACCCACGGACAGUCUCAUCACUCGUAGGAAAGGUGUGACGAGUCUACGCCACGUCUCGGGUUGGAUCAGGGGGAAGAUGCCCAAAGGGUUCAACCUGAGGAGUAAACUGAAAGUAGUGACCCAGGCCAUUGGCUUCUCCCGUUGGCUCCCUCUCCAAGCCAUCAAACAGAGGGAGGGAGCCACCAGCUCCAAACACAGCCUGCUUAAACAUCGGAUGGCCAUGCGUGUGGCUAGUAAGACCAGCCUGGCCAGCAAGAAGAACCGAACCUCUGGAAACGGAGCCGAAGAUAAGUCCGCUAUCACCCAGAAGAGGCAAGCGGGGGAGUCUGGUGACGACCCCCACUCCACCUCCCCUCCAGCAGCCAUCGUGCUCCCCAGGAUGAACAAGCUGGGCAUGGGAAAGGCCAAAGGAAUCCUACCAGCCCAGCCAUCCCAGACUGCUCAGCCAGCCUCCUCCUCCACCCCAGGCUCCAGCACUGCUGUGGGAGCCACCCUCGAAGCCCCCAAGCCCCCCAAACCAGGAGCCAGACUGGUACUCCCAGUCAAACCAGACCUCACCCUCCUCAAGUCCAUAAAGAAGCCUGUUCCUGGAGCAGCACCAGAGCCAAGGAGGACUGAAAGUACAAAUGGGAGCACAGGACCACAGAGACCCACACCAGACACCAGCAACGAGGACAGGAAAAGGGAGGCGGCACUUAAAGGCAAUGAGGGUUUCAGCAUCCUCCAGGCAGCCAGGGGCAAACUGGGCAACGAUCAAUUCAAAUUGACCAAGCUAUCCAAGCCUCUUGCUAGUGCUGCAAUAGAAGUAGGACCCAGCCGUGG
rnacentral:lncRNA from 8 species